UUUCGCAAUGCCCGAAAGGGUGACGAAGCGACGCCGCGUGCGGGAAGAAGGCCUUCGGGUUGUAAACCGCUGUCGGGAGUUAAGAAAUGCAAGGGUGUUAACAGCAUCCUUGCUUGACUAAGGCUCCGGAGGAAGCCACGGCUAACUCUGUGCCAGCAGCCGCGGUAAUACAGAGGCGGCAAGCGUUGUUCGGAAUUAUUGGGCGUAAAGAGCACGUAGGCGGCUGUGUAAGUCGGUUGUGAAAGCCUUCCGCUCAACGGGAGAACGGCAUCCGAUACUGCAUAGCUUGAGUGUGGGAGGGGAGAGUGGAACUUCUGGUGGAGCGGUGAAGUGCGUAGAUAUCAGAAGGAACACCGGCGGCGAAGGCGACUCUCUGGCCCGUAACUGACGCUGAGUGUGCGAAAGCUAGGGGAGCAAACGGGAUUAGAUACCCCGGUAGUCCUAGCCGUAAACGAUGGGCACUAAGUAGAGGGGUUUU
rnacentral:rRNA from 1 species